GGAUUCCCCUAGUAACUGCGAGUGAAGCGGGAAAAGCUCAAAUUUAAAAUCUGGCGGUCUUUGGCCGUCCGAGUUGUAUUCUGGAGAAGUGCUUUCCGCGCUGGACCGUGUAUAAGUCUCUUGGAACAGAGCGUCAUAGAGGGUGAGAAUCCCGUCUUUGACACGGACUACCAGUGCUUUGUGAUGCGCUCUCAAAGAGUCGAGUUGUUUGGGAAUGCAGCUCAAAAUGGGUGGUAAAUUCCAUCUAAAGCUAAAUAUUGGCGAGAGACCGAUAGCGAACAAGUACCGUGAGGGAAAGAUGAAAAGCACUUUGGAAAGAGAGUUAAACAGUACGUGAAAUUGUUGAAAGGGAAACGCUUGAAGUCAGUCGCGUCAGCCGGAACUCAGCCUUGCCUUCCGCUUGGUGUAUUUUCCGGUUGACGGGCCAGCAUCGAUUUCGACUGCUGGACAAGGGCUAGCGGAAUGUGGCACCUUCGGGUGUGUUAUAGCCGCUGGUCGCAUACAGUAGUUGGGAUCGAGGACCGCAGCNNNNNNNUUCGGCUUAGGAUGCUGGCGUAAUGGCUUUAAACGACCCGUCUUGAAACACGGACCAAGGAGUCUAACAUGCCUGCGAGUGUUUGGGUGGAAAACCCGAGCGCGUAAUGAAAGUGAUAG
rnacentral:rRNA from 1 species